rnacentral:rRNA from 1 species
GACAGAGGCCUCGAGCGUUAGGCGGAAUCACUGGGCUUAAAGCGUGUGUAGGCGGGCCCGUAAGUGUCUUGUGAAAUCCCCCAGCUCAACCGGGGAACGGCUGGGCAUACUGCGGGUCUUGGGCCGACUAGGGGCAGCCGGAACAAGCGGUGGAGCGGUGAAAUGCGUAGAUAUCGUAAGGAAGACCAGUGGCGAAGGCGGGUCUCUGGACAGUUCCUGACGCUGAGGCACGAAGGCCAGGGGAGCAAACGGG